rnacentral:rRNA from 1 species
AUACAGAGGGUGCGAGCGUUAAUCGGAAUUACUGGGCGUAAAGCGCGCGUAGGCGGAUAUUUAAGUCAGAUGUGAAAUCCCUGGGCUCAACCUAGGAACUGCAUUUGAAACUGGAUAUCUAGAGUAUGGUAGAGGUGAGUGGAAUUUCAGGUGUAGCGGUGAAAUGCGUAGAGAUCUGAAGGAACAUCAGUGGCGAAGGCGACUCACUGGGCCAUUACUGACGCUGAGGUGCGAAAGCGUGGGUAGCAAACAGGAUUAGAUACCCUAGUAGUCC